UACGUAGGGUGCGAGCGUUAAUCGGAUUUACUGGGCGUAAAGCGUGCGCAGGAGGCCCGUUAAGACAGGUGUGAAAUCCCUGGGCUCAACCUAGGAAUUGCGCUUGUGACUGGCGGGCUCGAGUACGGUAGAGGGGGGUGGAAUUCCUGGUGUAGCAGUGAAAUGCGUAGAGAUCAGGAGGAACACCGAUGGCGAAGGCAGCCCCCUGGGCCUGUACUGACGCUCAUGCACGAAAGCGUGGGGAGCAAACAGG
rnacentral:rRNA from 1 species